CCCAGGCUGGCUGAGCCUCCUGGAGGCUCUAAAAGGUGCAGCUUAUCGCCUUAGCAUCUGCUGAGCCGAAAAGAACCCCUGCUUUUCAGCUUCGUUUCCCCCAGUGAGCAAAGCAGCUACCCAAGGAGCUGCCCUCCUAGUUUUGCAAAGCAAAGGAGAAGGGGGGACCAUUAACCAUCACCGCGCCUGUUCUCUGCAUCAAGAAAUGCAAAAACAGAGCAAGUGUCGCCGGAGGACAGGCACAAUGUGGCUGGGGUCUAAAAUGUCUUUCUAAUAGCUUUUGGAAAUGAACCUUAAUGAAGAAACUCUGAGCCAGCAGCACAUCCUACCAUCGGGGGCACCAUGUGGAUGGAGGGGUUAAUGAUAUCGUGGAUGAGAAGGCAGCAUUUGGACCAAACACAGGGCUGCUCCCUUCUCUUCUGAGACUUUAUUGCAAGAUCGUAGAAAGUGCUGGGGACUGAGCCAGGAGCCUGACCGGGCACCUGGCAACUCACAUAAUCCCCUCCCGCGCCACUUCCUCAUCAGCAUAAAGGGGAUAAUAUAGUAUCUGCUGACUUCCCAGGGCCACAGUGGGAAACAGGAGAGUGAAAGUGAUAAGUACGGAGAAGAAAACCACCUGAUUUAGAAAAGGAGACCUGGCUGUGGGGAUCACUGGUCGGCAUCAAAAUAGUAACACAGGACAUCACCGCAGGGCGUGUACCGUGGCCAAACCCUGUUCUGCUGCUUUACGUCUAUCGAUUCAUCUAGUCCUAGCAAUCGCUCCUAUGAAGUAGAUGCUAUUAUUAUGCCUCUUCUCAGAUGCGAGCAAUCCAGGCGCAGAGAGCUCGAAAAGCAGCCCAAGAGCAGAGGCGGAGUCAAGCCCAGGAGGUCCAGCUGCAGAAUCUACGCUUUUAACUGCCCGGCAGGUUCAGAGGGCUUCCGGAGGAUUCCAACACCUCAGCACGGAUGCAGAAACCAGCAGCUGGAGGACGCAGAUGUGUCUGAGAGAGCACAGCUCAGAAAUCCCUGCACGGGGAAGACUUCUAGAACCUCUUCCUGGUAAAUAGUCCGCUUGCAUUCUCUUCGGUUAUGGUCCAGUUUAACUGUCUGAGGUUUGCGUCUUGCCCACUGGACUGUGAGGAACUUGAGGGUAGAGAGCCUGUACUUGGUCUGGUUACUGGCAUCGAGAAGAUACUCAUUACAUGUUCGAUGAGUAAAUGAAUGUAU